AUCCACGGCCAUACCACCCUGAACGGAACGUGCCCGAUCUCGUCUGAUCUCAGAAGCGAACAGGGUGGGGCCCAGUUAGCACUUGGAUGGAGAAUA
ensembl:rRNA 5S_rRNA 5S ribosomal RNA